rnacentral:rRNA from 1 species
GCAGAAGAAGCGCCGGCUAACUACGUGCCAGCAGCCGCGGUAAUACGUAGGGCGCAAGCGUUAUCCGGAAUUAUUGGGCGUAAAGAGCUCGUAGGCGGUUUGUCGCGUCUGCUGUGAAAGACCGGGGCUCAACUCCGGUUCUGCAGUGGGUACGGGCAGACUAGAGUGCAGUAGGGGAGACUGGAAUUCCUGGUGUAGCGGUGAAAUGCGCAGAUAUCAGGAGGAACACCGAUGGCGAAGGCAGGUCUCUGGGCUGUAACUGACGCUGAGGAGCGAAAGCAUGGGGAGCGAACAGGAUUAGAUACCCUGGUAGUCCAUGCCGUAAACGUUGGGCACUAGGUGUGGGGGACAUUCCACGUUUUCCGCGCCGUAGCUAACGCAUUAAGUGCCCCGCCUGGGGAGUACGGCCGCAAGGCUAAAACUCAAAGGAAUUGACGGGGGCCCGCACAAGCGGCGGAGCAUGCGGAUUAAUUCGAUGCAACGCGAAGAACCUUACCAAGGCUUGACAUGAACCGGAAAGACCUGGAAACAGGUGCCCCGCUUGCGGUCGGUUUACAGGUGGUGCAUGGUUGUCGUCAGCUCGUGUCGUGAGAUGUUGGGUUAAGUCCCGCAACGAGCGCAACCCUCGUUCUAUGUUGCCAGCGCGUUAUGGCGGGGACUCAUAGGAGACUGCCGGGGUCAACUCGGAGGAAGGUGGGGACGACGUCAAAUCAUCAUGCCCCUUAUGUCUUGGGCUUCACGCAUGCUACAAUGGCCGGUACAAAGGGUUGCGAUACUGUGAGGUGGAGCUAAUCCCAAAAAGCCGGUCUCAGUUCGGAUUGGGGUCUGCAACUCGACCCCAUGAAGUCGGAGUCGCUAGUAAUCGCAGAUCAGCAACGCUGCGGUGAAUACGUUCCCGGGCCUUGUACACACCGCCCGUCAAGUCACGAAAGUUGGUAACACCCGAAGCCGGUGGCCUAACCCUUGUGGGGGAGCCGUCGAAGGUGAAC